UCGGGAAUUUUGGGCAAUGGGGGAAACCCUGACCCAGCAACGCCGCGUGGAGGAUGAAGUAUUUCGGUAUGUAAACUUCGAAAGAAUAGGAAGAAUAAAUGACGGUACUAUUUUAUAAGGUCCGGCUAACUACGUGCCAGCAGCCGCGGUAAUACGUAGGGACCAAGCGUUGUUCGGAUUUACUGGGCGUAAAGGGCGCGUAGGCGGCAUGACAAGUCACUUGUGAAAUCUCUGGGCUUAACCCAGAACGGCCAAGUGAUACUGUCGCGCUAGAGUGCAGAAGGGGCAAUCGGAAUUCUUGGUGUAGCGGUGAAAUGCAUAGAUAUCAAGAGGAACACCUGAGGUGAAGACGGGUUGCUGGGCUGACACUGACGCUGAGGCGCGAAAGCCAGGGGAGCAAACGGGGAUUAGAUACCCUGGUAGUCCCUGAGCGGGCUGGCAAGGCGCAU
rnacentral:rRNA from 1 species